UACGGAGGGGGCUAGCGUUGUUCGGAAUUACUGGGCGUAAAGCGUACGUAGGCGGCUUUGUAAGUUAGAGGUGAAAGCCCGGGGCUCAACCCCGGAAUUGCCUUUAAGACUGCAUCGCUUGAAUCGCGGAGAGGUGAGUGGAAUUCCGGGUGUAGAGGUGAAAUUCGUAGAUAUUCGGAAGAACACCAGUGGCGAAGGCGGCUCACUGGACGCGUAUUGACGCUUAGGGACGAAAGCUUGGGUAGCAAACAGG
rnacentral:rRNA from 1 species